UACGUAGGGUGCAAGCGUUGUCCGGAAUUAUUGGGCGUAAAGAGCUCGUAGGCGGCUUGUCGCGUCGGCUGUGAAAACUCGGGGCUCAACCCCGAGCCUGCAGUCGAUACGGGCAGGCUAGAGUCCGGCAGGGGAGACUGGAAUUCCUGGUGUAGCGGUGAAAUGCGCAGAUAUCAGGAGGAACACCAAUGGCGAAGGCAGCUCGCUGGAACGGUACUGACGCUGAGGCGCGAAAGCGUGGGGAGCGAACAGG
rnacentral:rRNA from 1 species